rnacentral:rRNA from 1 species
AACGAACGCUGGCGGCAGGCCUAACACAUGCAAGUCGAACGGUGCCUUCGGGCACAGUGGCGCACGGGUGAGUAACACGUGGGAACCUGCCUUUCGGUUCGGAACAACGUCUGGAAACGGACGCUAACGCCGGAUACGCCCAUCCAGCGAUGGAUGGGGAAAGUUUACGCCGAGAGAGGGGCCCGCGCCGGAUUAGGUAGUUGGUGGGGUAACGGCCUACCAAGCCGACGAUCCGUAGCUGGUCUGAGAGGAUGAUCAGCCACACUGGGACUGAGACACGGCCCAGACUCCUACGGGAGGCAGCAGUGGGGAAUUUUGGACAAUGGGGGCAACCCUGAUCCAGCCAUGCCGCGUGAGUGAAGAAGGCCUCGGUGUAAGACUCUUCGGUACGGAAGAAAUACGCCGCCUCUAACACAGGCGGUGGAGUGACGGUAC